rnacentral:rRNA from 1 species
GACAGAGGCCUCAAGCGUUAGGCGGAAUCACUGGGCUUAAAGCGUGUGUAGGCGGGUCGUAAGUACCUUGUGAAAUCCCACGGCUCACCCGUGGAACUGCUGGGUAUACUGGCGAUCUUGGGCCAUUCAGGGGCAACUGGAACAAGCGGUGGAGCGGUGAAAUGCGUAGAUAUCGCUUGGAACGCCAAAGGUGAAAACAGGUUGCUGGGAAU